UGGCGAAGGCAGGUCUCUGGGCCAAUACUGACACUGAGGAGCGAAAGCGUGGGGAGCGAACAGGAUUAGAUACCCUGGUAGUCCACGCCGUAAACGGUGGGCGCUAGUUGUGCGAACCUUCCACGGUUUGUGCGACGCAGCUAACGCAUUAAGCGCCCCGCCUGGGGAGUACGAUCGCAAGAUUAAAACUCAAAGGAAUUGACGGGGCCCCGCACAAGCAGCGGAGCAUGCGGCUUAAUUCGACGCAACGCGAAGAACCUUACCAAGGCUUGACAUAUACAGGAAUACGGCAGAAAUGCUAGCGGUUAAACUCUGUAUACAGGUGGUGCAUGGUUGUCGUCAGCUCGCGUCGUGAGAUGUUGGGUUAAGUCCCGCAACGAGCGCAACCCUCGUUCUGUGUUGCCAGCAUUUAGUUGGGGACUCACAGGAGACUGCCGGGGUUAACUCGGAGGAAGGUGGGGAUGACGUCAAAUCAUCAUGCCCCUUAUGUCUUGGGCUGCACGCAUGCUACAAUGGCUGGUACAAAGGGCUGCAAUACUGCAAAGUGGAGCGAAUCCCAAAAAGCCAGUCUCAGUUCGGAUUGGGGUCUGCAACUCGACCCCAUGAAGUCGGAGUUGCUAGUAAUCGUAGAUCAGCAACACUACGGUGAAUACGUUCCCGGGGCUUGUACACACCGCCCGUCACAUCACGAAAGUCGGUAACACCCGAAGUCAGUGGCCCAACCGCAAGGAGGGAGCUGCCGAAGGUGGGAUCGGUGAUUGGGAUG
rnacentral:rRNA from 1 species